AUGGCUUCUUGACUUUUGGCUAAGAUCAAGUGCACUGUCUGUUCUUAUCAGUUUAACGUCUGAAAUGUCCUCUAUCCGAGGACAAUCAUUAAAUGGAUUUUUGGAGCAGGGAGUUGGCAUAGGACUCUGCCCACUCCACCCACAGCCUGGUAUUGCAGUAUCUCCAAGAACAGUGAAGCCCUU